CUCGCAAUAGCUCAGUUUGUAGAGCGGAGGACUGUAAUGGUUUAUUAAGAAUUAUUAUCCUUAAGUCGGUGGUUUGAAUCCGUCGCACGAGA
rnacentral:tRNA from 1 species